CAUUACAUAGGUUUCACAGAAAAGAAUUCACGAACAGCUUAAUAAACACCUUAACGUCGCAAGUCCUGCUACGCAUGAGAAAUUUAAAACAAACAGAGAAAGUGGUACAGAAAAGUUGUACCAUUCAGCCUUGGAAUGAUGGUAUGUCCUUCUUCAAAUGAGGUUUGAGGAGUCCUCAGAAGGCAACGGUGAUUUUUAUAUGCGAUAACCACUACAGGAUGUGAAGCACUGCUGGUACUGCACAUAACAAACAGCAAAACGACCAUAAAUAUUAAAUUACUAGCCGUAACCGUCCGCUUCGCUGGGCAUUUAAAAUUAAGAUUAUUAUUUAUUGUCAUUAUUAUUGAGUCCAACGCUCAUAUAAAUAUUAGCCUAUCCAUUAAGUACAUGUAUUUUCUACAUGGAUACCAAGUUUCAAGUCAAUCGGAUGCAUGGUUCAAUAGUUAUAACGGAACAUCCGUAAAAACCACUGUAGAUUCAUAUAUUAGUAUACAUGUGCAAGUUUCAGCCUAUGAAUUGGCAUAUCCGAGUCUGAAAAUAGCAGCGGUGACGUCAGAUUUUAUCGACUUUUAAAGUAUUAAGCGUACAUAGUAAAAUUAAAACCUUAAAUUUAAAA